rnacentral:ncRNA from 1 species
AUUUGGUGGGGGUGCAAAGACAGCCAGGAGGUUUUCCUAGAAGCAGCCACCCUUUAAAGAGUGUGUAAUAGCUCACUGAUCGAGUGCCCUUGCGCUGAAGAUGAACGGGGUUAA